UAAGGAAUAUUGGUCAAUGGACGCAAGUCUGAACCAGCCAUGCCGCGUGAAGGAUGAAGGUCCUCUGGAUUGUAAACUUCUUUUAUAUGGGAAGAAAUCCACUUUUUCUUGAGUGGUUGACGGUACCAUAGGAAUAAGCACCGGCUAACUCCGUGCCAGCAGCCGCGGUAAUACGGAGGGUGCAAGCGUUAUCCGGAUUCACUGGGUUUAAAGGGUGCGUAGGAGGGCAGGUAAGUCAGUGGUGAAAUCUCCAAGCUUAACUUGGAAACUGCCGUUGAUACUAUCUGUCUUGAAUACCGUGGAGGUGAGCGGAAUAUGUCAUGUAGCGGUGAAAUGCUUAGAUAUGACAUAGAACACCAAUUGCGAAGGCAGCUCGCUACACGAAUAUUGACUCUGAGGCACGAAAGCGUGGGGAUCAAACA
rnacentral:rRNA from 1 species